UACGUAGGGUGCGAGCGUUGUCCGGAAUUAUUGGGCGUAAAGAGCUUGUAGGCGGUUUGUCGCGUCUGCUGUGAAAAUCCGGGGCUCAACCCCGGACUUGCAGUGGGUACGGGCAGACUAGAGUGUGGUAGGGGAGACUGGAAUUCCUGGUGUAGCGGUGAAAUGCGCAGAUAUCAGGAGGAACACCAAUAGCGAAGGCAGCUCGCUGGGACGGUAUUGACGCUAAGGCGCGAAAGCGUGGGGAGCAAACAGGG
rnacentral:rRNA from 1 species